UGCAAGUCGAGCGGAACGAUCCUAGCUUGCUAGGAGGCGUCGAGCGGCGGACGGGUGAGUAAUGCAUAGGAAUCUGCCCGGUAGUGGGGGAUAACUUGAGGAAACUCAAGCUAAUACCGCAUACGCCCUACGGGGGAAAGCAGGGGCUCUUCGGACCUUGCGCUAUCGGAUGAGCUUAUGUCGGAUUAGCUGGUUGGUGAGGUAACGGCUCACCAAGGCGACGAUCCGUAGCUGGUCUGAGAGGAUGAUCAGCCACAUCGGGACUGAGACACGGCCCGAACUCCUACGGGAGGCAGCAGUGGGGAAUAUUGGACAAUGGGGGCAACCCUGAUCCAGCCAUGCCGCGUGUGUGAAGAAGGCCCUCGGGUUGUAAAGCACUUUCAGCGAGGAAGAAUGCUUGUCGGUUAAUACCCGGCAAGGGAGACAUCACUCGCAGAAGAAGCACCGGCUAACUCCGUGCCAGCAGCCGCGGUAAUACGGAGGGUGCGAGCGUUAAUCGGAAUUACUGGGCGUAAAGCGUGCGUAGGCGGCUUGAUAAGCCGGUUGUGAAAGCCCCGGGCUCAACCUGGGAACGGCAUCCGGAACUGUUAGGCUAGAGUGCAGGAGAGGAAGGUAGAAUUCCCGGUGUAGCGGUGAAAUGCGUAGAGAUCGGGAGGAAUACCAGUGGCGAAGGCGGCCUUCUGGACUGACACUGACGCUGAGGUACGAAAGCGUGGGUAGCAAACAGGAUUAGAUACCCUGGUAGUCCACGCCGUAAACGAUGUCGACUAGCCGUUGGGGUCCUCGAGACCUUUGUGGCGCAGUUAACGCACUAAGUCGACCGCCUGGGGGAGUACGGCCGCAAGGUUAAAACUCAAAUGAAUUGACGGGGGCCCGCACAAGCGGUGGAGCAUGUGGUUUAAUUCGAUGCAACGCGAAGAACCUUACCUACCCUUGACAUCGUGCGAACUUUCCAGAGAUUGGAUUGGUGCCUUCGGGAGCGCACAGACAGGUGCUGCAUGGCUGUCGUCAGCUCGUGUUGUGAAAUGGUUGGGGUUAAGUCCCCGUAACGAGCGGCAA
rnacentral:rRNA from 1 species